ACCGAGCAUUUAUAGUUUAAUAAUAAUAUAUUUUUAUUAAUGCAUGUACCUUAUAGCAUGAAAAACUCGUUUAAUUGCAUUUGGUUCGCCUUUAAACAUGUGAAUUUCAAACCUUGAAAUUCCGCAUGGGACUCAGCAUUCAUACAUAGUUUCGAGUACUCGGGAUUCUGGCAAUGACCAGUACGUCAUAAAUAAUAGAGAGUGUGCGCUCUCACCAAAUGUGCUGUGAAGUUCAGACUGUCAACUCUCCAGUCACAUUGAUGGACAUUUUCAAAAAUUCAGGCUUGUUAUCCCCUUCAUAUGGAGCCGACCUCUCUUAGCUGAUGUGUCUAACUACUCAGUGCUCACAAGUGGUGGAGCUGUGCAAACAUGUCCUUGGAGAGUUCAACAUUGACUGAUACAGAGGGUCAGCCAUCAAGCUGUAGAUGGUCGUGAGUUUUCCCCAAGCUUUGCCGGUUUAAUACUGGCUGCCAUCAUAUUGACAACUCCAUUUUCUGAAGUGGUGGAACAGUUUACACUGUCAUCAUUGUCUUCAUGUUAACAGCAGGAAGAUCCAUUUUGGGCUCCAUACAACAUGGAACUUCAAGCAAAAUGCUCGCCGUCAAUCCAAGACCUCAUACAGAAAUGCAUCAUACACCUUUCACAGACUUAAAUGUACUGUGUGCAUGAUAGUACGAGCUCAUCAAUGCAGAAAUGGCAAAGCUCUUGCACGCUUGUUAAAAUGUAGGCAGAAAGAGAUAAUAUUUAAAUUGUGUAAUAUGUAUUACAUAGAGGUUAAUGACGUAAAAUUUUACCCCCAAAAGUUUAUUUUUAGAGGAAAAUAAAUGUUGUCAGAUAUUACUUUUGGUGCGAUAACUUACGUAUUCCUUUAGGAUAUUGUCCUACCUUCCAAACAAUCCCCAAAACACCCUUCUAACAUUAAUAGAACUCUCAGAAUAAGGCACAAUUUUUGUGAUGGCCCAAAUUUUAGGUCACAGUCGAGUCUCUUGGCGUUCAGCAUGAAGGGGAUAGUGCAACGACUGGUUGACCCGUAUCAGUAUAAUGGCUCGGGCGGGGCGGCUUAUUUGUUUCAGGCUCAAGAAUAUUUCUCUUGUAUGACGUUGGCCAGUUGGCCAGCAUUAUGGUGGAAGGAAACCGGACAGAGCCCAGUGGAAAACCCACGACCAUCCGCGGGUUGCGAAUAAACUUUCCCAUGUAUGAUCACAGAUGAAGCCAACGUGAGCUGGACUUGAACUCACAGCUACUAAGGCUGCUGAGAGACUCCUGUGUCACUGUGCUGCACUAGCACACCCAUCACUACCAUACAGGACCCUGCUAACUUUUAAAGUUAUGUUGAAAUCAACAGGAACAAUGCAUGCAGUGAGAAAGAGAAACUCAAGACAGUGGUAGUCAUUAUG